rnacentral:rRNA from 1 species
UCGAAAGAGCAGGAGCGCUUGCCACGACUGCGACUCUAGUUCAGGCGGGACUACCCGCUAAGUUUAAGCAUAUCAAUUAAGGGCGAGCGAACUGGGAAAAGCCUAAGCUUAGAAUCGGGCGGCUCCGGCGUCCGAAUUGUAGUUUGGAGAAGCGGGCGGACCGAGCACAAGUACCCUGGAAUGGGGCAUCAGAGAGGGUGACAGUCCCGUCAUGCUCGGACCCUGUCGCACCUCGAGGCACUGUCGGCGAGUCGGGUUGUUUGGAAAUAUAGCCGUAAUCAGGUGGUAAACUCCGUCCAAGGCUAAAUACGGGCGAGAGAUCGAUAACAAAUAAGUACCUUGAGGGAAAGAUGAAAAGGACUUUGAAAAGAGAGUCAAAGAGUGCUUGAAAUUGUCAGGAGAGAAGUAGAAGGGGACCGGCAAUGCGCCCUAGUCGGAUGUGGAACGUUGUCUAAACGAUCCACUGAUCGGCUCAGGGCAUGGACCAGUGCGGAUUUGGGCGACGACCGAAGCCCGGGCUGUAGAUGUGCUUGCGAAGAUGCCGUCGUCGUGAUCAUGGAGGGACAGCGCUAGUCAUCGGCAUGCUUCGGCAUCUGCGCACUCCCGGUGCUAGUCUGCGGGCUCCCCAUUCGACCCGUCUUGAAGCACGGACCAAGGAGUGACAUGUGUGCGAGUCAACAGGUGAGUAAACUCGUAAGGCGUAAGGAAGAUGAUUGGUGGGAUCCACUUGAGGGGUGCACCGUCGACUGACCUUGAUCUUCUGAGAGGCGAACCCAGAGGAAACUUUGGUGGAGGACCGCAGCAAUACUGACGUGCAAAUCGUUCGUCUGACUUAGGUAUAGGGGCGAAAGACUAAUCGAACCAUCUAGUAGCUAGUUCCCUCUGAAGUUUCCCUCAGGAUAGCUGGAGCUCACGUGCCAGUUCUACCAGGUAAAGCCAAUGAUUAGAGGCAUCGGGGGAGAAACGCCAUCGACUUAUUCUCAAACAUUAAAUAGGUAGGACGGGGCGGCUGCUUCGUUGAGCUGUUCCACAGAAUAAAGAGCUCGAAGUGGGCCAUAUUUGGUAAGCAGGACUGGCAAUGCGGGAUGAACCGGAAGCCGAGUUACGGUGCCCAACUGCGCGCUAACCUAAAUACCCCAAAGGGUGUUGGUCGAUUAAGACAAUAGGAUGGUAGUCAUGGAAGUUGAAAUCCGCUAAGGAGUGUGUAACAACUCACCUGUCGAAUCAACUAUCCCCAAAAAUAGAUGGCGCUAAAGCGCGCGACCUAUAACUGGCCGUCGGGGCAAGUGCCAGGCCCCAAUGAGUAGGAGAGCGCAGUAGUCAUUGCAAAACCUGGGCGCGAGCCCAGGCAGAGCGGCCGUCAGUACAGAUCUUGGUGUAGUAGCAAAUAUUCAAAUGAGAACUUUGAAGGCCAAAGAGGGGAAAGGUUCCAUGUGAACCGCACUUGCACAUGGGUCAGUCGAUCCUAAGGGUCGGGAAAAGCCAGACAUAUAGCGCGUUUCGCGCAUGGUUCGAAAGAGAAUCGGGUUAAAAUUCCUCAACCGGGACGUGGCUGCUAAUGGCAACGUUAGGGAGUCCAGAGACAUCGGCGGGGGCCUCGAGAAAAGUUAUCUUUUUUGUUUAACAACAUGCCCACCCUGGAAACGACUCAGCCGAUGGUAGGGUCCAGCGGUUGGAAGAGCACCGCACGUUACGUGGUGUCCCGUGCGCCCUCAACAACCCUUUAAAAUCCGGAGGACCGAGCGCUGUUCAUGCCCGGUCGUACUCUUAACCGCAUCAGGUCGCCAAAGUGAACAGCCUCUGGUCAAUGGAACAAUGUACGCAAGGGAAGUCGGCAAAAUAGAUCCGUAACCUCGAGAAAUGGAUUACCUCUAAGGGCUAGGCACGGGAGUCCCUGUCCCGAACCCGUCGGCUGUCGUUGGAAUGCUCGAGCUAAUCCUNCUCUUGUCGUUGGAAUGCUCGAGCUAAUCCUGCGGCAAGAGCGGGUCGCUGCGUGCCGGUCGGGGGACGGAUUGGGAAUGGCUCUCUCGGGGGCCUUCAUCGGGUGUCGAACAGCCAACCUAGAACUGGUACGGACAAGGGGAAUCCGACUGUUUAAUUAAAAUAAAGCAAAACGAUGGUCCCUGCGGAUGCUAAUACAAUGUGAUUUCUGCCCAAUGCUCUGAAUGUCAAAGUGAAGAAAUUCAACUAAGUGCGGGUAAACGACGGGAGUAACUAUGACUCUCUUAAGGUAGCCAAAUACCUCGUAUCUAAUUAGUGACGCACAUGAAUGGAUUAACGAGAUUCCCACUGUCCUUGUCUACUAUCCAGCGAAACCACAGCCAAGAGAACGGGCUUGGUCGAAUCACUGAGAAAAGAAGACCUUAUUGAGCUUGACUCUAGUCCGACUUUGUGAAAUGACUUGAGAGGUGUAGGAUAAGUGGGAGCCCUUGGGCAAAAGUGAAAUACCACUAGUUUUAAGGUUAUUUUACUUAUUCCGUGAACAGAGACGGGGCCUACACCCCUCUUUUUGGACCUAAGGUCGCCUCGGUGGCCGAUCCGGGCAGAAGACAUUGUCAGGGGAAAGUUUGGCUGGGGCAGAGCAUCUAUUAAAAGAUAACGCAGAUGUGCCUAAGAUGAGCUCAACGAGAACAGAAAUCUCUUGUGGAACAGAUGGGUAAAAGCUGUUUGAUUCUGAUUUCCAGUACGAAUACAAACUGUGAAAGUGUGGCCUAACGAUCCUUUGGACCUUCGGAAUUUGAAGCUAGAGGUGUCAGAAAAGUUACCACAGGGAUAAUUGGCUUGUGGCAGCCAAGNNNNNNNNNNNNNNNNNNNNNNNNNNNNNNNNNNNNNNNNNNNNNNNNNNAUAGCGACGUUGCUUUUUUAUCCUUCGAUGUCAGCUCUUCCUAUCAUUGUGAAACAGAAUUCACCAACUGUUGGAUUGUUCACCUACCCAUAGGGAACGUGAGCUGUGUUUAGACCGUCGUGAGAUAGGUUAGUUUUACCCUACUGAUGACAGUGUCGCAAUAAUAAUUCAACCUAGUACGAGAGGAACGGUUGAUUCGCACAAUUGGUCAUCACGCUUGGUUGAAAAGCCAGUGGCGCGAAGCUAUUGUGCGUUGGAUUAUGACUGAACGCCUCUAAGUCAAAAUCCGGGCUAGAAGUGACGCGUACGCAAGCCGUUUGUUUGCCGACCUGUAGUAGGGGCCUUUGGCCCCCAAGGACACGUGUAGUUGGCUAAGCCGGCGCGGCGGAAGAGCCGCGACGACCGCCUUGAAGUACAAUUCCCAUCGAGCGGUGGGCAGAAUC